UUUAGCAAAUAAUAUCUUGUUUGGAGACCUUCCACCAAUUUGUAGCAUAAAAGACAUAAAACUAGAAAGAGCCAACUGGAUAGCAAACUGCUUUUUGAAAGCCCACAUGUGAUUGCCACUCAAUAGAGUUUUGUACAUAUACUGUGAGAAGAUGCUGUCUGUGACAAAACUUUUUGUUAUUUCAAGAGUUUUGUACAUAUACUGAGAGAAGAUGCUGUCUGUGACAAAACUUUUUGUUAUUUCAUUGUAUGCUUGAAGACGGAGAUCAACAACAGCAUCUGGGGAAAUCUGGCCAGAUAUUGCUUGGUUGAGUUGCUCCUUGAAAAAU
rnacentral:lncRNA from 1 species